GCGGACGUGGUGCACGGCGCACCCGUGCCUUCAAUAAACUAUUAAACAAAAGUAAAAGCAGUCAAACGGGGUUCGACUCCCCGUGUCCGCA